rnacentral:rRNA from 1 species
AAUCAACGCUGGCGGCGUGCCUAACACAUGCAAGUCGAACGCGAAAGCCCCGCAAGGGGCAAGUAGAGUGGCAAACGGGUGAGUAACGCGUGGGUGACCUGCCUUCGAGCGGGGGAGUAACGUUCCGAAAGGGACGCUAAUACCGCAUAACAUCCUGCCCUUGAACGGGUGGCGAUCAAAGCUGGGGAUUCGCAAGAACCCGGCACUUGAAGAGGGGCCCGCGUCUGAUUAGCUAGNGGUGAGGUAACGGCUCACCAAGGCAACGAUCAGUAUCCGGCCUG